rnacentral:rRNA from 1 species
UACGUAGGGGGCAAGCGUUAUCCGGACUUACUGGGAGUAAAGGGUGCGUAGACGGUCAGACAAGUCUGAAGUGAAAUGCAUGGGCUCAACUCAUGAACUGCUUUGGAAACUGCCAGACUAGAGUACAGGAGGGGUAAGCGGAAUUCCUGGUGUAGCGGUGAAAUGCAUAGAUAUCAGGAGGAACACCGGCGGCGAAGGCGGCUUACUGGACUGUAACUGACGUUGAGGCACGAAAGCGUGGGGAGCAAAC